AUUGAACGCUGGCGGCAUGCUUUACACAUGCAAGUCGAACGGUAACAGGUUAAGCUGACGAGUGGCGAACGGGUGAGUAAUGCAUCGGAACGUGCCCGGUCGUGGGGGAUAACGCAGCGAAAGCUGCGCUAAUACCGCAUUCGAUCUGCGGAUGAAAGCGGGGGAUCGCAAGACCUCGCGCGAAUGGAGCGGCCGGUGGCAGAUUAGGUAGUUGGUGAGGUAAAGGCUCACCAAGCCUGCGAUCUGUAGCUGGGCUGAGAGGACGACCAGCCACAAUGAGGCGGAGACACGGCCCAGACUCCUACGGGAGGCAGGAGUGGGGAAUUUUGGACAAUGGGCGCAAGCCUGAUUCAGCAAUGCCGCGUGCAGGAUGAAGGCCUUCGGGUUGUAAACUGCUUUUGUACGGAACGAAACGGUGAGCUCUAAUACAGUUUGCUAAUGACGGUACCGUAAGAAUAAGCACCGGCUAACUACGUGCCAGCCGCCGCCGUAA
rnacentral:rRNA from 1 species